GCAUUGGUGGUUCAGUGGUAGAAUUCCGUUCUUUCAUGCAGGAGACCUGGGUUCAGUUCCCAGCCAAUGCA
rnacentral:tRNA from 1 species